rnacentral:siRNA from 1 species
GUCCAAACCGAUGGUGGAAGCCUG